UACGUAGGGGGCUAGCGUUGUCCGGAAUCAUUGGGCGUAAAGCGCGUGUAGGCGGUCCGGUAAGUCCGCUGUGAAAGUCGAGGGCUCAACCCUCGAAUGCCGGUGGAUACUGUCGGGCUAGAGUACGGAAGAGGCGAGUGGAAUUCCUGGUGUAGCGGUGAAAUGCGCAGAUAUCUGGAGGAACACCGGUGGCGAAGGCGGCAUCCUGGACCGAUAUUGACGCUGAUGCGCGAAAGCCAGGGGAGCAAACGGG
rnacentral:rRNA from 1 species